rnacentral:rRNA from 1 species
AACGAACGCUGGCGGCGCGCCUAAUACAUGCAAGUCGAGCGAGAAGGUGUAGCAAUACACUUGUAAAGCGGCGAACGGGUGAGGAAUACAUGGGUAACCUACCCUCGAGUGGGGAAUAACUAGCCGAAAGGUUAGCUAAUACCGCGUACGCUUCCGGGACUGCGGUUCCGGAAGGAAAGCGAUACUGUGAGUAUCGCGCUCUUGGAUGGGCUCAUGUCCUAUCAGCUUGUUGGUGAGGUAACGGCUCACCAAGGCUUCGACGGGUAGCUGGCCUGAGAGGACGAUCAGCCACACUGGCACUGCGACACGGGCCAGACUCCUACGGGAGGCAGCAGUAAGGAAUAUUGCGCAAUGGACGACAGUCUGACGCAGCGACGCCGCGUGGGGGACGAAGGUCUUCGGAUUGUAAACCCCUUUCGGAGGGAAGAUGGAAUGGGUAACCUAUUCGGACGGUACCUCCAGAAGCAGCCACGGCUAACUUCGUGCCAGCAGCCGCCGCCGU